ACACAUGCAAGUCGAGCGGGGAACGGACGGUAGCUUGCUACUGUUUGUUUCUAGCGGCGGACGGGUGAGUAACGCGUGAGCAACCUGCCUUUAUCAGGGGGAUAACGCAUCGAAAGAUGUGCUAAUACCGCGUAAGACCACAGCUUCACAUGGAGCGGGGGUCAAAGGAGCAAUCCGGAUAAAGAUGGGCUCGCGUCCGAUUAGCUAGUUGGUGAGAUAACAGCCCACCAAGGCGACGAUCGGUAGCCGACCUGAGAGGGUGAUCGGCCACAUUGGAACUGAGAGACGGUCCAGACUCCUACGGGAGGCAGCAGUGGGGAAUAUUGGGCAAUGGGCGAAAGCCUGACCCAGCAACGCCGCGUGAGGGAAGAAGGGUUUCGGCUCGUAAACCUCUGUCCUAUGGGACGAAGGAAGUGACGGUACCAUAGGAGGAAGCCCCGGCUAACUACGUGCCAGCAGCCGCGGUAGUACGUAGGGGGCGAGCGUUGUCCGGAAUGAUUGGGCGUAAAGGGCGCGUAGGCGGCCUGCUAAGUCUGGAGUGAAAGUCCUGCUUUCAAGGUGGGAAUUGCUUUGGAUACUGGUGGGCUGGAGUGCAGGAGAGGAAAGCGGAAUUACCGGUGUAGCGGUGAAAUGCGUAGAGAUCGGUAGGAACACCAGUGGCGAAGGCGGCUUUCUGGACUGAAACUGACGCUGAGGCGCGAAAGCGUGGGGAGCAAACAGGAUUAGAUACCCUGGUAGUCCACGCGGUAAACGAUGAAUGCUAGGUGUAGGAGGUAUCGACCCCUUCUGUGCCGCAGUAAACACAAUAAGCAUUCCGCCUGGGG
rnacentral:rRNA from 1 species